GUGCUCACUUCGGCAGCACAUACACUAAAGUUGGAACCAUACAGAGAAGAUUAACAUAGCCCCUGAGCAAGGAUAACAUGCAAAUUCACGAAGCAUUCUGUAUUUUU